rnacentral:rRNA from 1 species
UGGCUCAGAUUGAACGCUGGCGGCAGGCCUAACACAUGCAAGUCGAGCGGUAGCACAGAGAGCUUGCUCUCGGGUGACGAGCGGCGGACGGGUGAGUAAUGUCUGGGAAACUGCCUGAUGGAGGGGGAUAACUACUGGAAACGGUAGCUAAUACCGCAUAAUGUCGCAAGACCAAAGUGGGGGACCUUCGGGCCUCAUGCCAUCAGAUGUGCCCAGAUGGGAUUAGCUAGUAGGUGGGGUAACGGCUCACCUAGGCGACGAUCCCUAGCUGGUCUGAGAGGAUGACCAGCCACACUGGAACUGAGACACGGUCCAGACUCCUACGGGAGGCAGCAGUGGGGAAUAUUGCACAAUGGGCGCAAGCCUGAUGCAGCCAUGCCGCGUGUGUGAAGAAGGCCUUCGGGUUGUAAAGCACUUUCAGCGGGGAGGAAGGCGUUAAGGUUAAUAACCUUGUCGAUUGACGUUACCCGCAGAAGAAGCACCGGCUAACUCCGUGCCAGCAGCCGCGGUAAUACGGAGGGUGCAAGCGUUAAUCGGAAUUACUGGGCGUAAAGCGCACGCAGGCGGUCUGUCAAGUCGGAUGUGAAAUCCCCGGGCUCAACCUGGGAACUGCAUUCGAAACUGGCAGGCUAGAGUCUUGUAGAGGGGGGUAGAAUUCCAGGUGUAGCGGUGAAAUGCGUAGAGAUCUGGAGGAAUACCGGUGGCGAAGGCGGCCCCCUGGACAAAGACUGACGCUCAGGUGCGAAAGCGUGGGGAGCAAACAGGAUUAGAUACCCUGGUAGUCCACGCCGUAAACGAUGUCGAUUUGGAGGUUGUGCCCUUGAGGCGUGGCUUCCGGAGCUAACGCGUUAAAUCGACCGCCUGGGGAGUACGGCCGCAAGGUUAAAACUCAAAUGAAUUGACGGGGGCCCGCACAAGCGGUGGAGCAUGUGGUUUAAUUCGAUGCAACGCGAAGAACCUUACCUGGUCUUGACAUCCACAGAACUUUCCAGAGAUGGAUUGGUGCCUUCGGGAACUGUGAGACAGGUGCUGCAUGGCUGUCGUCAGCUCGUGUUGUGAAAUGUUGGGUUAAGUCCCGCAACGAGCGCAACCCUUAUCCUUUGUUGCCAGCGGUUCGGCCGGGAACUCAAAGGAGACUGCCAGUGAUAAACUGGAGGAAGGUGGGGAUGACGUCAAGUCAUCAUGGCCCUUACGACCAGGGCUACACACGUGCUACAAUGGCAUAUACAAAGAGAAGCGACCUCGCGAGAGCAAGCGGACCUCAUAAAGUAUGUCGUAGUCCGGAUUGGAGUCUGCAACUCGACUCCAUGAAGUCGGAAUCGCUAGUAAUCGUAGAUCAGAAUGCUACGGUGAAUACGUUCCCGGGCCUUGUACACACCGCCCGUCACACCAUGGGGAGUGGGUUGCAAAAGAAGUAGGUAGCUUAACCUUCGGGAGGGCGCUUACCACUUUGUGAUUCAUGACUGGGGUGAA